UACGUAGGCAGCGAGCGUUGUUCGGAAUUACUGGGCGUAAAGCGUGCGUAGGCGGUUUUGUAAGUUUGGUGUGAAAUCUCCCGGCUCAACUGGGAGGGUGCGCCGAAAACUGCAAGGCUGGAGUGUGGGAGAGGUAGGCGGAAUUCCUGGUGUAGCGGUGAAAUGCGUAGAUAUCAGGAGGAACACCUGUGGUGUAGACGGCUUACUGGACCAUGACUGACGCUGAGGCACGAAAGCGUGGGGAGCAAACAGG
rnacentral:rRNA from 1 species